CCCCGGGGCUACCUGAUGCGGGAGAUAUGAGGCUGAACGGUGAAGAGGCGCAUCUGUGGAGAACCUGCUCCGGCCCUGCAAUGUCCUUCUCCCGGCUCAGCGUCCCCUCCAGCCGCCGGUCCGCGGGCUCUCCUCAGCAUUCUGAAUUUUCCGGCGUGGUGAGACUCUGGAGAAGAGAUUUGUUGGGGAAUUUGCUGAGUCGGCACACUCCUCCUUUCCUCUAGCUGCUGGAAGACUGAACAUUGUGGUGAGAGAGCAUCUUGGAAACUGCACUCUGACUUGGGUGGAAACAGGCUACUGAGACCAUAGGAGACCCAAGAAACAAAGGUUUGGAAGAUUUGAGGCAGGUCUGAGCUGGACCAGAGUGGGCAAAAGAUGUCUUCAGGUACGUGAAUAUACACUGCUUCAUUCCCAAGAUUUGCAUGAUCAGAUGUAGAUUUCUCAGCUGAAAGUGAUGUGCAGAAUCUGCUAUAGUCAACACCAAAAG